rnacentral:rRNA from 1 species
CAGCCCGAGUGGUGAUCACUAUUAUUGGGUCUAAAGGGUCCGUAGCCGGUUUAAUCAGUCUUCUGGGAAAUCUAAUCGCUUAACUAUUAGGCUUCCAGGGGAUACUGUUAGACUUUGGGACCGGGAGAGGUAAGAGGUACUGCAGGGGUAGGAGUGAAAUCUUGUAAUCCCUGUGAGACCACCAGUGGCGAAGGCGUCUUACCAGAACGGGUCCGACGGUGAGGGACGAAAGCUGGGGGCACGAACCGGAUUAGAUACCCGGGUAGUCCCAGCUGCAAACGAUGCUCGUUAGGUGUCAGGAACGGUGUGACUGUUUCUGGUGCCGAAGGGAAGCCGUGAAACGAGCCACCUGGGAAGUACGGCCGCAAGGCUGAAACUUAAAGGAAUUGGCGGGGGAGCACUACAACGGGUGGAGCCUGCGGUUUAACUGGACUCAACGCCGGAAAACUCACCGGGGGCGACAGCAAUAUGUAGGUCAGGUUAAAGGUCUUACCUGAAUCGCUGAGAGGAGGUGCAUGGCCGUCGUCAGUUCGUACUGUGAAGCAUCCUGUUAAGUCAGGCAACGAGCAAGACCCGUGCCCACUGUUACCAGCAUAUCCUUUAUGGAUGAUGGGGACUCUGUGGGGACCGCUGCUGCUAAAGCAGAGGAAGGUGCGGGCUACGGUAGGUCAGUAUGCCCCGAAUCUCCCGGGCUACACGCGGGCUACAAUGGUUGGGACAAUGGGUAUCUACUCCGAAAGGAGUUGGCAAUCUCUUAAACCCAAUCGUAGUUCGAAUUGAGGGCUGUAACUCGCCCUCAUGAAGCUGGAAUCCGUAGUAAUCGCGUUUCAACAUAGCGCGGU